UAUGCCAAGUUGUAAACUUUAAAUUACACCCUCAUCGCCAGGAUACUACGAGCUAAGCUUAAAACCCAAAGGACUUGACGGUGCCCCACAUCCCUCUAGAGGAGCCUGUCCUAUAAUUGAUACCCCUCGCUAAACCUCACCAUUCUUUGCCCCUCUCAGCUUGUAUACUUCCGUCGUCAGCUAACCACAUGAGUGAACUCCAGUAAGCCCAAUGCCCAUACGCCAAAACGUCAGGUCAAAGUGCAGUAAAUAGAAUGGGAACAGAUGGGCUACAUUUUCUAAGUUAGAAAAUAACGAAAGACUCCGUGAAACCAGAGUCAGAAGGCGGAUUUAGAAGUAAAAAGAAAUCAGAGUGUUCUUUUUAACUCGGUACUGGGGCGUGUACAAACCGCCCGUCACCCUCUUCAAAGCACAAUAACUACAGUACAUAACCACCACUUGCAACAUAGAAGAGGCAAGUCGUAACAUGGUAAGUAUACCGGAAGGUGUGCUUGGAAUCAAAGUAUAGCUUAACCAAAGCCU
rnacentral:rRNA from 1 species